rnacentral:rRNA from 1 species
AGCGGCAGCACGGGUACUUGUACCUGGUGGCGAGCGGCGGACGGGUGAGUAAUGCCUAGGAAUCUGCCUGGUAGUGGGGGAUAACGCUCGGAAACGGACGCUAAUACCGCAUACGUCCUACGGGAGAAAGCAGGGGACCUUCGGGCCUUGCGCUAUCAGAUGAGCCUAGGUCGGAUUAGCUAGUUGGUGAGGUAAUGGCUCACCAAGGCGACGAUCCGUAACUGGUCUGAGAGGAUGAUCAGUCACACUGGAACUGAGACACGGUCCAGACUCCUACGGGAGGCAGCAGUGGGGAAUAUUGGACAAUGGGCGAAAGCCUGAUCCAGCCAUGCCGCGUGUGUGAAGAAGGUCUUCGGAUUGUAAAGCACUUUAAGUUGGGAGGAAGGGUCGUUACCUAAUACGUGACGAUUUUGACGUUACCGACAGAAUAAGCACCGGCUAACUCUGUGCCAGCAGCCGCGGUAAU